UCGAGAAAACAGCCGGCGAUGCAC
rnacentral:piRNA from 1 species